rnacentral:lncRNA from 1 species
GACAAUAUAAAUUUAUAUUUAAAAAUUCAUACACUACCAAGUAACAAAGAAAAUCAUCAUAUGUGGACAAUAAUUCCUCUUUAAUAUGUAAAAAUCAGAUUAGACAGAAGUGAAAUAAUAAACAUGAAACAAUAGCGUAAAAAAAUAUCAAAAAUAUUAUAAUGAAAAAAUAAGAGGAGAUAAAAUAUUAGUGAAGAAGAAAAAGAAAGACCAGAAAAGAUGGGAUAUUAGACAAGAAGAGUUGCGAUAAAAACGAAAUUGGAAGAGAGAACAUUUGCAUAAAAAUGAGAGGGUGAAAA